UUUGUUUGGUCUAAACAAGAAACAUACUAUUUAUUUUAUACUCAUUGAUUAUAAACAAGCAAAUCAUCAUGUCCCAAUUGAAACAAUAUCCAACUUUUUCAUUAUUGAUUUAUGAAAGUGUCAUAAAUACACUGGUUCUUGUAGAAGUGAUCGUAAGACGAUUGAGAUCGAAUUGUUUGUCUUUCAUUGAAAUAUUUUAGGAUCGAGUCUAAUUCUUU
rnacentral:lncRNA from 1 species